AGGGAAAAGAAGGAGAUCGGGGCAUUCCAGGAGCUGAAGGACCCAAAGGAAUUAGGGGUAGAAGAGGUAAUUCUGGCACACCAGGUUCCCUGGGAGAUCCAGGUGACCAAGGGCCAUCAGGACCUAUGGGUGCCAAGGGACCAGUGGGCACCAUUUUAAUGGAACCUUGUGAACUUGUGAAUUUUUCCCGAAAAAACUGCC